UCGACGGACGGCGGAGGAGUGCUGCGUGCCUUCCCGGCAGCGCUGUGGCCUUCUGCGUCCGAGCCGGGCCAACCGAACCGGCGGCACCGGCCACCUGGGCUGGCCACAGCGCUGGGCAGCGCCUGGCAUUUCGGAAUGUUGCGGCUCAGAGAACCAGACUCUAAGAUUGAGUGACGAUGACUCACCUGUAGCGCUUUGCUGACGCUGGGCCUUUUGUCUGCCCAGCUUUUGCGGGUUAUGCCUGUGCACUUUCCCUCUGACAUGGGACAUGACAAUCAGGAAAGGUCCUUCCUGGCACCAAGGAACAAAACCACUAAAUGCAGAAACCUGACUCCUAAUCAGUGAUGCUUUCAAGGAAACAUCUUGAACAAAAGGGGGAAAUGUGAAAACGAAUAAAAGAGAGCUUUGUUCAAAAUGGAGUCAGGCAGCCCCAAAGAGGGAAGCUCUCAUGCAUGUACCACGCAUUGCAGUUUAUUUUAUACACCCUGACAGGAAGAAACUUACUUUACUACCCCAGCAGGAGGAGUGAAGAUUUUCCCUCUGCCCAGCAACAACCCAGCCAAUGGGAAACUGCCACAUCUCAACCAUUGAGAAGUAGCCACAACCCCGAACUCUGACUUCUCUGUCAAAAUUCUAAAAAGGUUAUUCAUUUUGCAUCCAGACUCGAGCUGCAGUGUCUGCGCCUCCCUGGGUCUCCAGCCUGCUGGCCUACUUUGCAGAUUUGAACUUGCCAAACUCCACAAUCAGGUUGAAACUAAAUGUAGAAAAUGGAUCCAGAGACAAGUAACAAGCAGUAAGAAAAAGGAUGCUAACCUGACGACUCAAGAGAAAAGGGCAAUGCAGAGCUGAGAUUGUUUUUCACGCAGAGCGAAUGGAUUUGAAGAGCUGGCUAAUGAUUCUCUAUCGCCCUGAAGUGUUUCUCUUUCUUUGUUUUGAGCUUGUAACGGACAUAAAUGCCCACCACCCCACUUCUGUGGAUGACUGAACGAGAGAAAAUAAAUUUAAAGUAAAGCAGAA